UAGGAAAUGGAAGGAUUUGAGGAAAAGAUAAUUUCUGUUUUGAACAUGUCAGGUGUCUACAGGACGUCCAAUUGUAUCUAGUUGUAUUGGAUAUACAAGACAGGGAAGGAUUUAGAAAAGAGGCUAGGACUAGAAAAACAGAUCUGAGUUAGCUGCAUCAUUUUUUAUUCUUUGUUUCUUUCUUUUUUCCCUUCCCUCCCUCCCUCUUUCUGUCCUUCCUUUCUCUAUCUCUCUUUCUUUGUUUCUCCUUCCUUCCUUCCUUCCUUCCUUCCUUCCUUCCUUCCUUUCUUUCUUUCUUUUUUUUUCUUUUUCUUUUGUGGGUUGUUUAGAGUAACUUAUUUUAAAUUUUGCAUUAAGUUUACAGUUCUGAGUUUCUACACUUUUUUGGGGUCAUCUGCUGCCUUUGCAUGUCAUCUGUGGUUUCCUCAACUCUUCCAAAAUAUUUCCAUUUAAUUUCUUAUGCUGACAUGUGAAAUAUAG
rnacentral:lncRNA from 1 species